CCUACGGGAGGCUGCAGUGAGGAAUAUUGGUCAAUGGACGCAAGUCUGAACCAGCCAUGCCGCGUGCAGGAAGACGGCUCUAUGAGUUGUAAACUGCUUUUGUACGAGGGUAAACGCAGAUACGCGUAUCUGUCUGAAAGUACCGUACGAAUAAGGAUCGGCUAACUCCGUGCCAGCAGCCGCGGUAAUACGGAGGAUUCAAGCGUUAUCCGGAUUUCUUGGGUUUAAAGGGUGCGUAGGCGGGAGGUUAAGUUAGAGGUGAAAUCCCGGGGCUCAACUUCGGAAUUGCCUCUGAUACUGGUCGGCUAGAGAGUAGGUGCGGUAGGCGGAAUGUAUGGUGUAGCGGUGAAAUGCUUAGAGAUCAUACAGAACACCGAUUGCGAAGGCAGCUUACUAAGCUACUUCUGACGUUGAGGCACGAAAGCGUGGGUAGCAAACAGGAUUAGAUACCCUGGUAGUC
rnacentral:rRNA from 1 species